AAGUCGUAACAAGGUUUCCGUAGGUGAACCUGCGGAAGGAUCAUUUCUGAACUUUAAGGUUUGGGUUGGGAGAAAGUCGAGAGGUUUUACCACUUCUUUGCUUUUUUUUCCUCCCUUUCCUUAAUCAAAGAGAGUGUGUGGUAUAAAUGAAAAGGAAAAAAUUUUCAAAAAAAAAGUUGGAUGUUGUGGGGAAUGUGAUUUAUUCCUUCCCCACUUAUUCUUCUUUUCUUUUGAUUUUUUUCCUAAUCUUUACUUUUAUGAACCAAAACAAGUUACUUUUUUGUUUAAUUAAAACAAGAGUUCUUUUUUUUAAAUUCUUCGGAAUUAGAAAAAAAAACACUACAAAAAAUUGACAUACAACUGUCAACGGUGGAUCUCUUGGCUCGU
rnacentral:misc_RNA from 1 species